GACGUAGGGCGCGAGCGUUGUCCGGAUUUAUUGGGCGUAAAGAGCUCGUAGGCGGCUUGUCGCGUCAACUGUGAAAACCCGUGGCUCAACCAUGUGGUCUGCAGUCGAUACGGGCAGGCUAGAAUUCGGUAGGGGAGACUGGAAUUCCUGGUGUAGCGGUGAAAUGCGCAGAUAUCAGGGGGAACACCGGUGGCGAAGGCGGGUCUCUGGGCCGAUAUUGACGCUGAGGAGCGAAAGCGUGGGGAGCGAACAGG
rnacentral:rRNA from 1 species